rnacentral:rRNA from 1 species
UACGAGAGGCCCAAACGUUAUUCGGAAUUACUGGGCUUAAAGAGUUCGUAGGCGGUAUGACAAGUAGGGGUGUGAAAGCCCUCGGCUUAACCGAGGAAUUGCGCUCUAAACUGUCGUACUCGAGGAACCUAGAGUGAGCAGAACAGAUGGUGGAGCGGUGAAAAUGCGUUGAUAUCAUCUGGAAAUACCGGAGGCGAAGGCGGCUCAC